rnacentral:rRNA from 1 species
GACGAACGCUGGCGGCGUGCCUAACACAUGCAAGUCGAGCGGAGACAAUAGCAAUAUUGUCUUAGCGGCGGACGGGUGAGUAACGCGUGGGCAACCUGCCUAUCACAGGGGGAUAACACAGGGAAACUUGUGCUAAUACCGCAUAACACAUCGAGGAAGCAUUUCCUUGCUGUCAAAGGAGCAAUCCGGGGAUAGAUGGGCCCGCGUCCAAUUAGCUAGUUGGUGAUGUAACGGACCAACAAGGCGACGAUUGGUAGCCGAACUGAGAGGUUGAUCGGCCACAUUGGGACUGAGACACGGCCCAGACUCCUACGGGAGGCAGCAGUGGGGAAUAUUGCGCAAUGGGGGAAACCCUGAUGCAGCAACGCCGCGUGAAGGAUGAAGGUUUUCGGAUUGUAAACUUCUUUAGUCAGGGACGAAUAAAUGACGGUACCUGAAGAAUAAGCCACGGCUAACUACGUGCCAGCCGCCGCAGUAAUAC